UUCUUGCGCCAAGUUAACCGCUUGUCUUAUCAGAAGGCCCGCUUGAUUGAAGCGCCGUUUGACGACGCAAGCUCUUGACGCCUGUCUCAGCACCUCAAUGAUGAUUCUACAGCGAAAUUAUUAAUACGUGAGCUGCAGACCACGCAAACGACUGGAAACGUGAGAAAAUUAGUGAAAUGCGCCAACACGUCACGAAGACGGCGGUGUUACCUCAUCAUAUUCGCUACGAUGAAAGUACAGCGUUGAGAAAUUCGCAUAGAGGCCAGCUAGAUUAGGUAAAGCGUCCAAUUUUUCCAACUGUUUUAUUACUUUUUGCGCGGAAUUGAACGUGUUUUCGGCCGCUUUGAACUCGCAGUAAAUGGUCUCCGCGUAAAUUCGCCUAAAAUGCUAACUGAGUUUAGAAAACACAAAUCGGGGAAAUACUUGUGAUAGCACUCGAGGCAUUUCUUCAGGAUCUCGACGCUUUCGUCCUGUUCCUUGCACAAGUCCUCUGUUAGUGUCAGUAUCUUAAUGCUGUAGUCAUACCAGCCCCCUUCGUUGAAGAAGCUGCCCACGUGUAUGCCUACACUUAUCGCCCGCAAGGGCUCCUUUUGCAAGUAAUUUGAAAAGUCCUGGAUUAGUUCGUCAGGAACGUUCGAUCCGUGAUUAAUUAAGCCUUGAAAACUCUUCAGCAACUUGACGCGUUUGUGUUUAACGUUAAGCAUUCGAAUAAAGACUUCCAGUUCACUGAAUUCGACGGCGAGAAGGCACGCCCGCUUUUCAGUGAACAUCUAGAGUGAGCCAAGUGUUUAAUGGAGUUUCGAUAAAGCGCAUACUUACUGUGUAAUAAAAAUCAAAGAGGACAUUAUCAGGCAAAGAUCUGAACUCUUUUUUGCAAAAUUUACAAACUGUAACACAAUCUUUGACAGCUGCUUUGACACAAAUUGCGUAUAGCGACGGAGGACUUUUCAUUUUUACCACGAUUGCACACAAUAUUGAACUAGUUUUUAUUUGCUAAUCACACAUUAAUGAAGCAGCUGAUAUAACUCCAAAUAACAUUGACCAGCUGAGAGAUAUAAACACGGCAGAUUUCUGUUUUAUCGACGCGAUACACACGUCAAAACAAACAAUCGAUUUUGAAAUAACAAGUUUAUUAUUGUACAAAUUACGAAUUAUUUACGAUAUGAUACACACAUUAAACGAAACGAUAAGUAAAUAUUGGUGACUCAUAUUAUUAGGUUUGGGGAAACUAGCCGUUAGAUUUGUUGAGCAGUUGAAAAGUCGUAACUUGCUGCUUGUGAUGUGUGCGGGGCAUUUCGAUCGAUGUCUUCGUAACUUGAUUGUUGCGGAGCUUCCCCGAAUAAACCUGAUAACGCCCCUGCAAAAAAUUGUAACAUUCUUUGGUUUUGCGUGUCAGUAUUCCAAACCGUUGGAUCCCGUUCUUUCUUCAAGGUUUUUAAUCAAGACAAUGGUACUAAAAGGUCGCACAAUUAAGUGUAGGAUGCACAUUGCAGCUGAAAACUUUUCUCGUGCCGAAUGUGCUAAAAAAACAAUUUAGUAUAAUUAGAACACACAAAAGUGUGCCUUACCAUCGCUCGGGUAAGACAUUACUAGCAAUAAAAUGUCUAAAAAUAUUGAAACUCCGUUUACAACAAUGGCCUAGAAAAAUUAAUUUCAUUAAAAUUCAGUGAUGAUUCAUGCUGCUACCAAUUGCAAAGGUUCCUCGUUUUGUGGCUGAAUCAGACUCCAGACCAGGAAAAUAAUAAAAAAGAAAUUGUAAAAUAAGUAAGCCGAAGUGCUCCAAAAACCCAUCGAACUGAGGGCGAUAAAAACAAAGUGUGAUAAAAAUAUCACCUAAAAUGUAACGAAAUAAAAAUUGACAGAAACGCAUUUUGUACUUACUUUUAAAUUGAGAUUUCGUAUUUGGGGUAAAGCCGGCAUUUUAUUAAACAAUUACGUUCGAACUUUAUUACUCAAUAAAAUAAAACGAAGAUCCAAAAUAAACUUUUGACACCGAUGACAUUUCUGUCAAA